rnacentral:lncRNA from 1 species
CACUUGGUUGGUAUUCAUCAAGUCCAUCUCAGAUUUCAUAGCUUCCAGCCAUCUGUCUGAGUCUUUACUCAUGACAGCUUCUGAACAGGUCAGUGGAUCAACAUCAUAAAUGAUAUUGAUCAAAUUAUCAUUCUCAAUGAUAAAAUUAUAUCUCAGAGAUGCUUGACGCACUCUAUCUAACCUUUAGAGAGGAGGUAUGUAUUGUGG